UCAAGUGAUUCUCCUGCCUCAGCCUCCCGAGUAGCUGGGACUACAGGCGCCUGCCACCAUACCUGGCUAAUUUUUGUAUUUUUAGUAGAGACGGGGUUUCUCCAUGUUGGCCAGGAUGGUCUCAAUCUCUUGACCUCAUGAUCCACCCUCCUCGCCUCUCAAAGUGCUGGGAUUACAGGUGUGAGCCACCAUGCCUGGCCCAAGCUUUUUAAAAUACUUCUACUAUCCAUCAAAACCCAGUCCCAAUGAUACUUCCCCCAGUAGUGUCACUGGGGUCAUUCCUGACUUCUCUUCGUGGAAACAACCUCACCUUCCUCUGGACUUUCAUAGCAUAUGGCUUAGGACAUUGAUUUUCUUAACUUGUAGCCUAGUUAAUAAAGCAUUCUUGAUAAACUGUGUUUAGCUAUAAGGUCUGAGGGUCUGGAUACCAACAGAGUCAUGUUUCAGCCCUCACAGCACUCAAUAGAAUAUCUUGCACAUAUUUGCUACUAAAAAAAAAUGUGUUUUAUGAAUGAAUGAAUGAGUGAGUGAAUGGUCUCUUCAGGUGCUAUUGUGGGAACUCACUAUCACUUUUUCCUUCUCAAAGCCACUAGUUGAGAUUUAGAAUUCAAACCCCCUUUCUGCUGAGUAUAAGUUUUGUAGAGGACAAGGCAUCCCCACCGCUGUCCAGGGCCAUUGCAUAUCUUCUAGCUCGGCCCAGGUUAACCCUGUGCAGCAGGCUGUUUGAAUCUUCCUUCACUUCCCUCACUUCCUCUUUUUUCUAAAGCCUCAUUCCUGGAAAAGUUAUUUCUCAGAGUUCCCUGUCCUUCUAUCUAAUGGCUUCUAGGUGCCCCCUUGAUUUCAGGGUGACAAUGCCUUUCUUGAAAUCACCUCACCCCAGAUAAUGAACUCCCUGAGUUUUGCCCAGAGAAUGUUCUAGAUAUUCAUACCUGGUACACAGUGUUUCUCUCCUCCCCCUUCAUGUCUUGGAACUGAAUUCCUUUAAAUGCUUCAAGCUUCGCACACCUGCCCCUGCCUUCCGUCUUCCCUGGAUCUUACCUCUCCCAUGGCCCCUGAAAAUCAACGUUUAUAAAACCUUACAUUUUGAGUAAUCUUGGUUUUUUUUCCAUUCCAUAUAUCAUGAAAAGCACUUGGCUAAUGUCUCACGUGAUAAGAAAGAGUUGCUUUUGCUUCAUUCAGCUCCACGUUGCUCAUAUUCUGUCCUAUUCCCUUAUAGAAAUGACUUUCCCCUUGAGCUCCUUCAGAUAAACUAAAGCCCAGAGUUUCAUUUCAUGGGCACUGAUAUUAAUGAGCGCACAUUAUAUGCCAAGCAUUGUGAUAGUUUGGUGGCAAAAGCAGACGUGUGGAGAAGAAUUUAUGUGUUAAGUGCCCAGGGAGCAGGAAAGAGUGUGUGCGGGGGGAGGUCAGAUUUCAGGGAGGUUUCAUCCAGCAACUGACUCGGGAGCUCAGUGUUGCUGGAGAAGAUGGAAGUCGCUAGGUAAGGUGGAUGGGAUAGUGGUGGGAGGAGAUGGAGAGCAUUUCAGGCAGAGUGGGAAGAUACAGGACUGGCCUUAUUUAUGAAGCCCUUUCUCUCUCUCUCAGGAUUCCUGCUCUGCUGCCUUGGGAAUUUCACUUAUCAGACAUCUGGUCUCCCCAACUCUAGUUUAAGUGUCUUAAGAAUAAAGAUGCUUGUCAUUUCCUUGGGAUUCCUUAGGAAAUUACUAGAAAGUAGCAGGCACUAUUAAGUACAUACGUAUUGAAAGAUCACCUUAUAUCCUAUAAAUAUGUACAAUUAUUAUUUGUCAACUAAAAUUAAAACUUUAAAGAAAGAGAAAAAGGAGAGCAGAUGCUGGGUAGGUGUUUGAUGAGGGAGUGACGAGGGAGUCUGUAUGGGAGGGUUCCUUUAAAUGGAGUGUUUCUCCUCCUGCAUAAAGAUAGCUCAACUCCUGCCUUGAAAUGAAGAGUGAACAGACGAUCAAUAGCUUCUUGCAUCUGGCCUGGGUGUGGUAACGUCUAGGCCAUUAAUAUGCUGUUGGGCCCUUCCCACCGACAUUUGUUUCCCGAAGCUGUGCUGCAGCAUUUCUGAGUUGCUUGGCUUUGCUUCCUACCUUUGCACACCCUCCGGGAGGAAGGGCUCUCUCUCUCAUUCUCUCCCUCUGUUUAUGAACAAGGUAAUGUGUGUCAAAUUGCCUUGGCUUAACCAGGCAAUUGUGCGCCUUUAAAAGGUACCAGGAAAUGUUUCUCUGCGGUCAGAUUGGCCCAUAAUGCACAUCUGUUCUCUUGACCAAACUCCAGCAAUCUGCCCUGGCUUAGCUGCAGGCCGCACAGCCUGCUCCUGGCUGGAGUCCCAGGCCCAGCAGGGGAGUUUCUGCGAGGUCAGCCACCUGGGUUUCUGGCUGUCUCAAGGCACCGAGGGUGCUGGUCAAAGGACUCAAGAUUUGUGGUUCCCACAGCGUCAGGGCAUCCCCAGGAAAUCUACAAAAACUCUGUGGGGACAGGAGGAAAAGGAGGGGAGAAGUGAAGAGGAUUUGUCUAUAGAGAAAGGAUGUUCACUGCUUUGGGGAAGUUUUGAGUGAAACUGAAACCAGUAUCUGCGUGGGUUUUCCUUUUAGAAGAUGACCUACAAGAGGGAUGAAUUCAAUUUAUGAGUGAAAGCCCAGACGCAUUUUAUAUUUCCCCAAACUCUGGCUUCUGCACUUAAGUAAAUCCCUGAGAAUAAGGUGCAACGAUGACCUGGAUGGAACCGUGUGGAAUUGAGCCCAGUUGUCUCCACGGAGAGUCUCAUUUCCAAACACCUCCAAAGGAUACCCAGCACCCCGCAACCUCUCCCCAGCUCACACCACCAGCCCGUCGAUGUUCCUGGGAUAGUCCCGGUGCCUCCUGCCUGGUGUCCUUGCAUCUGCCCUUCCCCCUCCACAGUCUGUUCUCAACACCAGCACCAGGUUGCCUGUUAAAGUAGGCCAGAUCAUGUCACGACUUUGCUCAAGACUCCCCAAGGACUGCCCACCUAAGGCAGAACAAGUCAAGAUCCCCCUAUGGGUAUCAAAGCCCCCGACUCCUGAUCUUGUUACCUCUCCGAGCUCGAUGCAUCCCCUCCCGUUGCUCACUCUGCUCCAGGCACACUGACCUUCUUAGUGUUCCUCUGUUUGGAGCACUCUUCCCCCAGGUGUCUGGACUGCUUGUGUUCUCUGCACAACUGCCACUUUAGGUGGCUCCGGCACUGUCUUCAGGUCUUUGCUCACACAUUGCCUCAUGCAUGAGGCCUUCGUGUCAGCCCCGUGUGAGAUGGCUCUGGUGGCCACCCAGCACUUCCAAUUCCUCUCCCCUGUAGGAGCUUUUCCACAGGACUUACCACCCUCUGACAUAUUAUAGAUUAACCUCUUUUUAAAAUUUUUUAUUUUUUGAGAUAGGGUGUCACUCUGUCGCCCAGGUUGUAGUGCAUUGGUGCCAUCUCAGCUCACUGCAGCCUCAACCUCCUGGGCUCAAGUGAUCCUCCCACCUCAGCUUGUAGCUGGGACUACAAGCGUGUGCCACCAAGCCCAGAUAAUUUUUGUAUUUUUUUGGUAGAGACGGGGUUUCCCCAUGUUGCCCAGGCUGGUCUUGAACUCCUGGGCUCAAGUGAUCCACCCGUCUUGACCUCCCAAAGUGCUGGGAUUAUGGGUGUGAGCUAUCAUGCCUCGACAGAUUUUACUUUUUUUUGUUUUUUGAGACGGAGUCUUGCUUUGUCACCCAGGCUAGAGUGCAGUGGCGCGAUCUCGGCUCACUGCAACCUCUGCCUCCCGGGUUCAAGCGAUUCUCCUGCCUCAGCCUCCCAAGUAGCUGGGACUGCAGGCGCGUGCCACCACACCCAGCUAAUUUUUUGUAUUUUUAGUAGAGAUAGGGUUUCACCUUGUUAGCCAGGAUGGUCUCGAUCUCCUGACCUCGUGGUCCACCCGCCUUGGCCUCCCACAGAGCUGGGAUUACAGGCGUGAGCCGCCGCGCCCAGCCCAGAUUUUACUUUUUGUUCUUCUGUUUAUCUCCCUGCAACUGGAUCUUAUCUGUGGUUCCCUGUUGGAUCCCCAAUGCCAGGACCACAGCUGGCACUCAGUAAAAAUGGGUGGAGCAAAUGAAGAAGUGACAGAAAGUUGAAUCUGCCUGAGAAGGAGAUAUAAGACAAAAAUCCUAAAAAGCUGAAAAGAUACAAACAGUGACAUCAUCUGAAAACAAAAGAGUACCCUGGACUUGAUCUCAGGUUGUGAACCAUGACUAGCGCAGGAAAGAACAGGAGAGAGGAUGGGAUGGAGGUGUCCCAGCACAAACUCAACAUUCUGGGGAAGAGGUAAUCCACUGCCCUUUGCUUCAUUUAGAAAGUGGAACUGCUGUAAGAUGCAGGCAUUAGUUAGGAAAAGUAGAAAGGGAGAGUUAAACAUAAAUAUUCAUCCACUUUUCAUUUAAUACAUACCUAUUGAUUGUGUGCUCUGUGUAAGCCACUCAGAAGAGGCUAUGGAAGACCCCAUUGAAUUUUACUUCAUUAUUUUCUUUCAUAACUUACAUUAUAUGCAUUAUGUGUGUUCUUAUGAAUAUACCAACGUGGCAUAAUACUUUGAGCCUGGGUUUUGAAAUAGACAGGCAUGGGUGUGAAUCCCAUUCUCUGCACAACGUUGGGUGUGUUCCUUCACUUCUGAAACCUUCUAAAAUGGUUAUGGCUAUUAUUUUUUGAGAGUUCACUGGGUUCUACGCACUGUACUAAGUACUUUUCAUCUAUUAUCUCAUUUAAUCCUUGCUAAAGCUCACAGAUGUGGGUAGUGUCAUCUCUGUUCUACAGGUGAUGGAACUGAGGCAGAGUGGGGCCAGGCAAACUCACCUGGGGCCCCUCAGCUAGUGGGUGGUAGGGUCCAAGGCAGGUCUGCCUCUAAAUUCCUGCCUUUAGCCAAUUCAUCAUCAGUCUUCCUCAUCUGUGCAAUGGGGAUCAUUUAACACGGCUCCACAGGGCUGGGCUGUCCUGGGUGCCAGUGUCUCUGUGAAGCGUGUUAUAAACCUGAAGAUCUGUAGGGCACUGGCUGCUGUCAGAAGCCCUCAGCCUGUCCCUCUUCCACAGCAGGUGCUGCCUGUGAACCAGUGUGGGUGACACUCCUGCAAUGCCAUCGCACUUCUUGUAGGCUCAGAGGGGCUGGAAGCAGGGCCUGAAUGGGAGCUGAGGGAGGGUACAGUGCUUGUGGCUUUUCCCCUGGGCAGCUUCCCUGUAGGAGCUUUGGCUUCUGCAAGCCUCAGGCACAGAGGGGUAAGCAAAUGAGGAAUCUUCACUCCAGGUUGGAUCCUGACCCCUCCCCACCCCACAAAGCUGGGAGCAGCGGCAGUGGUUCUGGAGGACGUGCCGGUCUUUGCUCCUCCACACUUGGGAGAAAGCUGUGCUUUUCUGCCUCUUCUUGCCACUGUGGCCUGGGUGGAAUCAAUGCCAUGUGUGAAAACAGCUGUGUGCAUCUGGGGCGGGCACUGUGUAGGCCAGUAAGAGAACAGGCAAGUGGCCCGAGGACUGGCUACUGCAGGCACUUCGAUCACCUUUAAUUAUAGCCGCUUAACUGGCCUCUCAUUAGAAAUACCCCCACGGAUCUCUUGUCUGAUUGAUAAAAUCUUCCCAUCUAUCUCCAGCAACGGAUCCCUCCAACUUCUUCUUAAAAGCUCAAUCAGAGACUUUGCCUUAACUGGGGGAGGGCCGGGGUGCAGGUGGGUUAAAUGCAGAAAUUUCUGCUGACUUCAGAGUGGUUGUUUCUGGAACUCAACGGCUUUGGGUUUUUAGUUAGUUUGUUUGUUUUUAAACAAACUGUCUCUGAGGUUAGUUUCUAGGGUAUUAAUCUCCUAUGCUUGGCAAUUACGUGCAUUUAGAAAGUGAGUAGAAUUUGGUUCUCCUGGAAUAGAACUAAUUUACCAUUUGUGGUUAACAGGAAAGCUCAAGAGACUGUGGGGUGCAGAGCAAAUAUGUUUCUCCUUUCUUGGAUGUAGACCCUUGGCCCGUGAUACUCACACCAAUGGUAGCUAAAUUAGAGCAACUGGCUUGUUUAUUUUUGAUACUUUAUAGCCAUUCUGUGUUUUUUCUUUCCUGUUGCCUUAGAGAGGGAAGAGAAACAGUUAUAGAACACUCAUGUUCUGGGCUGCUUAUGUGUAUUAUUUAGUUUAAUUCUUGUGACAGCUCAUGAGGAAAGCGUCAUAAUCUCUACAUUUCUCAGAUGGGAAACUUGACUGAGAAAGUGUCUUGCUCAAGGUUACUGUUAGUGGAGGAGAUGGGAUUUGAACUUAGGUUGGGCUGGCCCCAAAGCCUUCCUCUAUGCCCUCUGUUUCCCAGGCCUCCCUUGGACUAAACACGGCAUCAACGGAGGGCUGGAGCAAUUGCUCUUAAGCUCAGCAUGGCGACAGCGUGGCCCUGUAUGCCGCGAGGUUGCAUACAAUUUUUUUUGUUACUACUUCAUGUUGUGAAUAAUAUGUUUUUUUCCCAUAGAGUGAAUUUGUCUCUCUCUCACCCACUUGUAUUUUGAUGUUUCUUUGGAAGGUGGUAACUAUAAACAGACUGGAUUGGAUGACCUGAGUUCCCAUCCCAGCUCUGCCAUGAACCCUCCCACAUCACAAGUUCUUCGUUGAUAAAAUUGGGGUCCUAAAAAGAAAAAGAAAAAAAAUUGGGAUCCUAAUAGUAUUUAUUCUUCGUUGUUAAUGGUGAAGUGAGGUAUCCCCCACAAGGCGUGUAGGUACAGAGGGAGGCUCUGUGUGAACUGAUAUUACUGAAUGGAAAGGAAAAGGGUGUCAUCACAGCUGGCACCCAUGGCCGUGCUGCUCUUGUGAAAAUCACCUGUCACCUGUGUCAAGGCAGGAUGAAGCUCUGAGUCAGAGCCGAGGUCUGAUGAGGUAGAUUCUGCUGGUGGUGGUCUCUCUCAGCCCUCAGCACUCACCCUCUGGCAGCAGAUAGAAACAGCUUAUCAGAGUUUACGUACUUUGAAAUGAAUAAGAGGGUGUACAUUUCUGAGUCAGUGCUGUAAUGUAUUAGUAAUAAAACAUGGCCAACAGAAACCCUUCCUAUUUGGAAAAUGAUUACUGGCAUUGAAGUUUGACUUUGAUUGUUGUGCUUUACACAGUAUAUUACUUGGGGAAAGUAUAAGCUCUUUUUUCUUUGCAACACCUCUUACCUUCUCUUGCCUGCUGCCAAAUAUCUAUGUAAUUUUGGAUAUGUUAACUCAUUUAUUUGACAAAUAUUAAACCUUAUCUUCCUAGGAACCUAGACCUGCAUCCUAUACAUGCAAAAGGAGGCCAAGUUCUAGUGCAGGGAGACAUCCACUUACAUCAUAGGCCCAUCACUUCAAAUCAGACAUGGGAACUAUGUUGGAGCCAGGAGAGGAAGCAGAUAUCUGUGUCUGGAAGACAGAAGGAAAGCAAGGGAAGCUCUGAGAUGGAGGAAAUGCAGGGAGGAGAAUGGGAGGCUAGUACAUCUCCCAGCUUCCUAGAGUAACAAAAUUAAAAAUGUUGGAAAUAUUUUAAGAGAAUUAUCAAAUAGAUGAAGCCAACUCUGUAAGUUGUGAAACAUAAAAAUCAUGGUUCAUUGGCGGGGCUCCGUGGCUCACGCCUGUAAUCCCAGCACUUAAGGAGGCCGAGGCUGGCAGAUCACGAGGUCAGGAGAUUGAGACCAUCUUGGCUAACACGGUGUUAGCCCUGUCUGUACUAAAAAUACAAAAAAUUAGCCGGGCGUGGUGGCUGGCACCUGUAGACCCAGCUACUGGGAAGGCUGAGGCAGGAGAAUGGCAUGAACCCGGGAGGUGGAGCUUGCAGUGAGCCGAGAUCGUGCCACUGUAUUCCAGCCUGGGCAACAGAGCGAGACUCCAUCUCAAAAAAAAAAAAAAAAAAUCAUGGUUCAUUUUUUUUCACAGCAGUUUAAAAGAUCUCAAGAUUUUUGUUGAUAGAAAAUAAAACAAGGAAAACUAUGUCCAGUGGAUGAGAUGGACCUGAGUUCCCAGUGUACAGGGUAAGGAGACCCAGAGUACCAGCACUCCAUUGUGUUAGGGCCACACACCCACCUCCCACCCCCAGAAAGAAAAUGGUACAUGUGGUGGAUUUGAUUCUUCUCCAAAUUUUCCACCUCCUUCAUCGAUUCAUGAUGUAAUCCAAUCGUACAUCCACAGCCUUCCCACAUGACUCCUGGAGGAGCUGGCGGCACAUACAUCCUCUCACCACUGACAUUAGGUUUAGUCAUGCAACUUGCGUGGUUGAUAGGAGGUUAGUGGUUGUGAUACAGGUAGAAGUUUUAAAUAUGCUUGGGUUUUGCUUGCACUUAAAUGUGCUUGGGUUUCAUUUACACUUCUGUCAUCUACUGUGAGAAGAACAUGCCCUUGAAUGAAAUGCUCAUGUAUGAAAAUACAAAGAUGUGAAGGUAUCAGUCUGGAAGAGCUAUAACCCCAAAUUAUCUCAGUGAUCCUUUUUUUUUUUUUUUUUUGGUGGCAGCUUUAUUCAGAUAUAAUUCAAUACCAUAGAAAUCAACCAUUUAAAGUAUACAAUUGGCCGGGCGCAGUGGCUCACACCUGUAAUCCCAGCACUUUGGGAGGCCGAGGCGGGUGGAUCAUGAGGUCAGGAGAUCGAGACCAUCCUGGCUAACAUGGUGAAAUCCUGUCUCUACUAAAAAUACAAAAAAUUAGCUGGGCGUGGUGGCAGGCACCUGUAGUCCCAGCUACUUGGGAGGCUGAGGCAGGAGAAUCCCUUGAACUGGGGAGGCGGAGGUUGCAGUGAGCCAAGAUCGCACCAUUGCACUCCAGCCUGGGCAACAGGGAGAGACUCCAUCUCAAAAAAAAAAAAAAGUAUGCAAUUAGCUAGUUCUUUAUAUAGUCACAGUGUUGUGCAGCCAUCACCAUAAUCAAUUUUAGAACAUGUCCAUAACCUCCAAAAAAAAACCCAUAUCUUUAAUGAUUACCUCCCACUCCCCCAACUCCUAGACCCUCUCCCCAGUCUUAGGCAAUCACUCAUCUACUUUCUGUCUCUAUGGAUUUGCCUGUUCUGGACAGUUCAUAUAAAUGGAAUCAUGCAAUAGGCAAUAUUUUGUGACAAGCUUCAUUUGCUUAGCGUGUUUUCAGGAUUUAUCUAUGUUGUAUUACUUAUCAGUACCUUAUUCCUUUUCAUUGCCAAAUAAUAUUCCAUUGUAUGGAUAUACCAGAUUUUAUUCAUUCAUUCAUUUGCUGAUGAACUUAGUGGUACUUUUGACAUAACUGUUAAAAUACAUAGAAGGAAUAAGAGAGGUUCAAUGUGCUUAUGACUUUAUAGGACAAAUGACUUUAUUGCAAUGUACUGUUCCAUCCAUGCAUUAGUUCCAUUUCUCAUAGUAAAUAAAUUGGCAUGUGAUUUACUAUAAGUCUCUCUGAGACUUACUUGCCUAAACCAGUGUCCCCAGGUAUAACCAGCUUGCAAUCAUAGAUAAAGUGAUGUGUCUGUAGAGCUGACGCCAGAGUCUGGAUGGGUAAAUUUUCGAAGGCAAAUGCUCCUUCAGAUACGGGGGGUCCAGCCAAUCUUUCUGGGCUACUGCCUGUGAUGUUUAUUAUGGGCUUAAAAAAUUCUACAUAGUUUAUGAAGUCUGAAAGCUUCUUUCCGUGAAACAUAGUAAUUAAAUCAUUUCUUUUAUCUGUUCCCUUGUGUGUGAUGAUGGUAUCAGAAAUCUCAGUGUUACUUCUUCCUUCCUGGCCUGAAUUCUUGGACAUCUCUAUUUUAUUGAGCUUGUGAGUUUACCAAUGCCCAGAUUCAAAUACAUCUGUGUAUAUCACUCACAUUCCACAAAGGAGCUCUGUCAUCUGGAUUAUAAUGAAGACACCACAGUGAGUAAGGGGACUAUGGAGUCCUGCCAGGCCCAAAAUGUGACAUGUCAGACUAGAGCAAUUUUCUGUGGAGUGGUGACAGUUAACCAUAGGGUUGGAGUAAAUAUCUCAAGAGUGUGCACUAUUAAAAAACCCCCAAUAUUUUGUCUCAUUGCUUUGAUUUAUUUUUGUCCCAAUUAUUUAAUUUAGAUCAAAUGUCAAUUAUUAUUAAAGGAGGGCAAGAGGACUUUAUCUUAUCAGAAGUGUUCAGGGGAAGGAGGAACAUGGGUUUAGAAAGGCUAAAAAAUACUAUAUUAAAAUAAACUCUACAAAGUAAACCCAAGUGCCUACAGGACCAGACAGGAAGAGCCAGUCAGAUAGAAGAAAUGGAAUGGACUUGGGCCACGAUCUCUUAUCAUAAGCUGAUAAAAUUAGACAUAAAUAAUCAAAUGGUGGAUAAAAAUAUACUUAGAUGUUAUGAAAUUUACUCUUGAACAACGCUUUGAUAAAAGAGAAAAUUGAAAGGUAAAUUAUAAAGUAUCUAGGAAGCAAGGGAAAGUAGAAUAGUUUGUGUGAAUCUGGGGCAGAGUGAAAGCUGUACUCAGAAGAAGAAGUAUAGCCUGAAAUGCCUGUAUCAAGGGUCAGCAAACUUUUUCUGUAAAGGGCAAGAGCUUUGUGGACCCUAUUGUCUCUGUUGAAGAUUCCUUUUUGUUUUGUUUACAACACUUUAAAAUGUAAAAACAACUCUUAGUCCCCAAGUUGUACAAAAACAGGUUGUGGGUCUGAUUUGGCCCACGCAUAAUAGUGUGCUGACCCUUGCUUCUGUUAUUAUAACGGACAAAAAGGUAAAAAAUAAUCUAAGUAAUAACCUUAAGAAAUCAGAAAAAUGAUGACAACAAUGACACAAAACACAGGAAAUUAUAAAGUAAAAUUAAUAAAGACAAAAGCUGAAACAAAUGAUAUAGGAAAUAAAAAAUUGUAGAAAGAGUGAAUAAAUCCAAAAGAUGGUUGUCAAGACAAGUAAAAUAGAGGAUCCUUUUGAAGUUAGACUAAGAAAACGGAGAGAACAAAAAUAUACAAGAUUAGCAAUGAGAAAGGGAGAUAUGGAUACGGGAGAGAUCAAAAUAAAAUCUAAGAGAACAUUGCAUACAGCUCUUUGACAAUAAAUUUGAGCAUCUAAAAUAAAUGAUUUCCUAGCAGACACUAACAAAAUUGAUCCCAGAAGAAAUGAAAACUUGAGUGGGCCAAUUACUAUAGAAGAACAUUGAUUAAAGAUUUACCAUUGAAAAAGGCACCAGAAUUAGAUGGGUUCACAAAAACAAAUAAUUUAGUUUUUAAAAUACCAUUCAAGCAAUAGAAAAAGGAAAAAAGUUCAGUAAGUUUCUUUGCUUAGAAAAUAAAGAGCGGAAAGUUCGGGCACAGGAGUGGCAAAUUACCUUGAGUGCCAGCUUGCAGCAAUGGGUAGUGAAAGAGAUUAUGAGGCCCAGUUGAGAUCCAGUGGGAAAAAACUGGGGAUUAGUUUGCCAUUCCUGACUCAGCUUGGAAAAUAAAGUCAAAUGGAUCUUAUAUCAUGUUUUCUGCAGAGAUAGCCAGGAAUUACUCUAUGAUGUCCUAUGGAUUUCUGAUCAAUUUAUUUGAGAAAACUUCUACAUUCAGUAAUUUACAUCCUUCUAAUGACCAUUCAGUAGCCAUAUGAAAAUCAUCUAGAUUAGGCUCCCAAACCCAAAUCUAACUUUGCAUUAAUCAUCAGUGCUGUGGGUGUAGCGCAUUGAUCAGAGAAGCCCAAGGUUACAGAGCCAAAGAACUCAUGGGAUAUUUCCCAGUGACAGGACCAUCAUAAGAAGGGUUGUCUUCCUUGUCUCUGAUGCCUUUGCUGAUUUGUAGCUGAACAGAAAUCCUCCCGUUUCAUUCAUUGGUCUAACCGUGAUCUCAGGGCUUUAUUUUCCUAAUUCGCUAAACACAAACGCAACUGAACAACAUCUCUUCCACUCUUAAAGGGCAGCUCAUUCUAGUGGCUGUGCUGGCCAACCCUGCCUGGGCUUCCCCAAGUCCAUCACAUCUACCCCUGUAGGUGGAAAGAGCAAAAAAGAGCCAGACACGGCAGUAAGGAAGGAAGAAAGAAAGAGGAACUGCCACUGCAAUGAGUAAAUCUUCAUUAUUAUAAAAAAGGGAAUCAUCACUUUACUAUCUUCAUUUUUAUGAUGAAGUAAAAUAAAAUGGAAAGAAAGAGCGAGAGAAAUGAUUGCUUGGUAAACGGCCUCAAACCUAGCACGUGUUUAUUUAAGCGUCUCUGCAAACAUAACCCAGGAUGUCCGUUAAAUCAGCAGGCAUGUCAGUUGGCACUUCUGGUUACAAACCAUUUUACGGUCAUACAUCAUUCAUAGCCGUAAAAGCCAUUUGCCCUCUGUCACCCAACCAAUCAGGAUUCAGCCAAGGGGAAGCUGAGCAGUAGCCCGGCAGUUUUCUUUGGGCUCCUCUGCGUUUCCGCAACCUGGUUCAGCAGAAUGUCACAGAAAAUUAACUCCCCUGGGUUAUCAAGGACCCCUCCUCACUAAGGAGCAAUAUAGGAUUUCAGGCUAAUAUUUACCCCUCCCCAAGCAACACCUUGUGAUGUGCCAGAAGAGGCAGAAGCGCAACAGGCAUCACACACCAGCCCUGGGUAACACCUGCUGCUUUGAACUGUUGGAAUGAAAGGCCGAGGAGGGGACGCUGCCAGUCCACGUCUCGGCGAUUCACUCCCGCUGCCCGCUUGGAGCAGACUUGAAAUUGAUGUCAGCGUCUAAGCCACCCAGCUGAUCCCAGAACCUCAAAAUUCCUCCAACGUUAUCAUGCAGAGCAAUUUACCUCUGUCUUGGACUACAUCUAAACGCCAUCAAAAUGGUCUAAGUAUUUGCUAAGAUGAAGGCAGUUCUCUCCCCUAAGAGGAAUUCUGCCACAGCUCACCUAAGGGUACCCUCCAUGACCAGUUGUGUUUCAGAGAAGGCAGAUCUAGUCCAUUCAAGGCCAGGAUCCCCCGGAGGCUCAUGACUGCUUAUUUGCAUGGUGUUUUGGUGUCAAAGGAGCGUUGAAUGUCUUCUCCAUAUACCCAGCUUUAUUCCACUCUAGGAGUUUAACUUCUUCAACAUUGUUAUGAGGUCCCUGGUGACCUCAGUUUCUCCUCUCCGCGUCAUCCAGGACUUCAUCUGAAGCUUGAGCUACAUGUAAGACUUCAUCUACCUUGCACAGGGCAAUGGAGAGAGGAUGGCAUACCAGAAUCAGCAGAUGACAGACAUCGGGGUGCUGUCGGACCCGGGAAUCAGAACCUCUGCAGAUAGAUAUUUUGGAAGGCACUCCCUAGAUUGGCACCUCUGGUUAGAACCCUGCCCAGGGACUGGACAAGUUGAGCCCAUGGCUCAUAUCUGGCCAGUGUUCAUUGCUUUGUUGAAUCACACUUAAUCCUUUGGUUUUGGUAGAUUCCUGCAAGUAGACUGACAGCCGCAUGUUUGCAGGAAAGUUAAAUAUUUUGACAGCGCAGAAGACUGCUGCAUCUGGAGGGUUCUGGGUCCAGCUAUAACCAGACUUGCCUGUCCUAAACAAAUGGAUUGACUGCUUCCGGCAUCCUCACUUUACUUCUGCACGGUGACCAACAUCCGGAGCUUAAUUACCUGACAGCCGGGAGGUAGGGGGCAAAGGAAACCUUUUAAUUUAUAGUAAGAAGUGAUCAGUUCCUUUUUUGGGUCUUAGUUAGAAUCCAGGUGCACUUGAAACAAUAAAACCUUGUAUAUAGUUUUCUCCUAUAAGAAACUUCUCAGAUAUUUACCAAAAUCCUGGAAAAAUAUAUAUUGGUCAAUAUACCACAAUUCCCACAAGAGGUAAAUAUUUACAAAAUCUACUUUGGGCAGUGAUGCUGCAAGAAUAUUAAAAGGCGUUGACUUUAUCGUCAAGUGAAUUAUUUCUUAAUUUUUUAAAAUUUAAAUCACAGUAUACUUGACAAGCUACAGCAGUAGGAAAACACCUUUGCUUUAAACAAAACUACCUUUUCUCAGCAAGAACAGUUACUAGAGUGGGAAAUAAGGUUAAUUUCAGUUUUAUUAAUAAUAUCUGAAAUGAAAUAAUGUUACAACUCGCCCCUCUAACCUCGUUGCUAGACAACUUGGAAUAUUUAUUUAUUUCUCCUUCAGAGAAAAUAAGAGUGGAUGUUACCUUUAAGCAACAUACACAUUUAAUUAAUGAACGCAAGGAAAAUGAUUCCGGUUGUAGUUAAAUCGGGCACAAGCAUAUAGGAUUUAAGAGAUCUGACCUUAGAAAUGAAGAAAAUAUUAUUGUAAUUACUCCAUUUGCUAAAAACAAAUGAUGUGGCAUUUGAAUUUAAGACUUCUAUCAAAAGCAGUUGAGUGUCUGUAAUCAGUUCUCACCUUUACAUUUUAAUGGAGUAGAGGUUGAGCCGUUGCAUUUACAAUUAUCUAGGCUGACUUCAUGCCUUUGAAAUGACUUAAAAAGAUUAGCAUUCAUGGAUUAUUUAUUAGCUCCUCGUGAACGUAUUUCCAAGAAUGGAAACAACAUAUUGCAUCAAAGUCUAGUUUCCAAGUUUAACUCUUUUAAUGAACAGCAUGACUGUACGAUGCUGCAAAAGGCAUCUCUGAAGUCACAGGACAUUUUGUCAUGCUUUUCCCUUCAAGUGCAUCUUUAGUAGCAGUCUUUGUUCCUUGCAAGCUCAGGGAGAAUGUUGAUUCCAGCCCUGGCAGCUGCCCGAGAUGCCCUGUAAACACUACGGCUAGCAGAAAGCAGGCUGCCCAGGGGGCCAAGGCAGCUGAUCCCAGCCUGCUGUAGCUAUCACUGAUAGGGAAUGCCUGUCUGGGGCUCGGCAGAGAACUCAGUGACAUGAUGGCCCUGGCAGUUUAACCCAAACACACUUUCUGCCUAGAUAACAAAAAUGUCACGCCUGAGUCCCUGACAGCAACCCCAGAGGAGCUCCAGGUUUGAGGCAACGCUGGCAGGACGUGGUCUAUCUGCCAUCUGAAGCCCUUCAUUGCCCGCCUGGCUGUGAAUCUCACCUCCUCUGUAGUGGAAAACAGGCCGAACAGAACUGGCAGGCAGGUAAGGGACAGCAAACCUUGCAGGGAGGGCCUAGUGCUGAAGCUAAGCCAGCCCUUUGAGUUCAAGCUCAAAGACAUGUGAUGCCAGCUUUGCAGGGGAGCUAAGAUUCUUCCGAGAAAAAGCAGAAUGAGAGAGAGAUAUGCAGCUGCAGUGGAGGACUUGGAAGAGAACAACGCCAGGGCCUGGAUCCUGCAAGAGUCUCCUCUGGAAAAGCAGGGGAGAGAAAAGCAAGGAAGGAAGCAGGGUCACCGCAAGUGUGGGAUUUGUCUUAUUAAAAUCUGAUACUGUGUGGCAGUUUGCUUCACUCUUGGUAUAAAAUGUCUGAGCUCCAUGUUAAAGUAAAUGUAAGUAAUAUAAAUCUGCCUUUCCUGAGGUGAAAAUAGAUCCAUAUUAUUUAAAAUAUGAACUGAGAUAGAUGACAGUUACAAACAUUAUACUUGUUCUUAUUAUAAUUCUUACUAAGCUCAAGGAAUAAAAACUGGGAUGAUGAAAAAGAAGUUCUGAACGUAAGAAUUGAUGUUUUGGAUAAAAUACAAACCAACCCAGAAAUGAUGAAAAAAAUCUGCCCUGUCUGACUUGCUUUGUUGCUUUGCUCAUGGAGAGUUCAGCAAUCGUGUCAUUUAUUCAUUCAUUCACUCACUCACUCACUGACUCACUCAUUCAGCAGCUAUCCAACCGGAGCUCGCUGUGAGGCAGACA